UACGUAGGGGGCGAGCGUUGUUCGGAUUUACUGGGCGUAAAGAGCGCGUAGGCGGUACGAUAAGUCAGAGGUGAAAUCCCUCGGCUCAACCGAGGACCCGCGUCUGAUACUGUCGAACUUGAGUGCAGGAGAGGAGAGCGGAAUUCCCAGUGUAGCGGUGAAAUGCGUAGAUAUUGGGAGGAACACCGGUGGCGAAGGCGGCUCUCUGGACUGUCACUGACGCUGAGGCGCGAAAGCUAGGGGAGCAAACGGG
rnacentral:rRNA from 1 species